UACGGAGGAUGCAAGCGUUAUCCGGAAUGAUUGGGCGUAAAGCGUCCGCAGGUGGCUGUGUAAGUCUGCUGUCAAAGAGCGAAGCUCAACUUCGUAAAGGCAGUGGAAACUACACGGCUAGAGUGCGUUCGGGGCAGAGGGAAUUCCUGGUGUAGCGGUGAAAUGCGUAGAGAUCAGGAAGAACACCGGUGGCGAAGGCGCUCUGCUAGGCCGCAACUGACACUGAGGGACGAAAGCGUGGGGAUCAAACAGG
rnacentral:rRNA from 1 species